GGUUAAGCGACUAAGCGUACACGGUGGAUGCCCUGGCAGUCAGAGGCGAUGAAGGACGUGCUAAUCUGCGAUAAGCGCCGGUAAGGUGAUAUGAACCGUUAUAACCGGCGAUUUCCGAAUGGGGAAACCCAGUGUGACUCGUCACACUAUCAUUAACUGAAUCCAUAGGUUAAUGAGGCGAACCGGGGGAACUGAAACAUCUAAGUACCCCGAGGAAAAGAAAUCAACCGAGAUUCCCCCAGUAGCGGCGAGCGAACGGGGAUGAGCCCAGAGCCUGAAUCAGCAUGUGUGUUAGUGGAAGCGUCUGGAAAGGCGCGCGAUACAGGGUGACAGCCCCGUACACAAAAGCGCAUAUGCUGUGAGCUCGAUGAGUAGGGCGGGACACGUGGUAUCCUGUCUGAAUAUGGGGGGACCAUCCUCCAAGGCUAAAUACUCCUGACUGACCGAUAGUGAACCAGUACCGUGAGGGAAAGGCGAAAAGAACCCCGGCGAGGGGAGUGAAAAAGAACCUGAAACCGUGUACGUACAAGCAGUGGGAGCCCCACCACUAAGCCAGUGGUGAACUCCACAUACGCAUCCUUUGCUGAGGAUGCGGUUAACGGAGCGAAAGCGACGUUCAACCGCAAAAGAAGCAGAGGGGGCUUAGUGGUGGGGUGACUGCGUACCUUUUGUAUAAUGGGUCAGCGACUUAUAUUCUGUAGCAAGGUUAACCGAAUAGGGGAGCCGGAGGGAAACCGAGUCUUAAUUGGGCGUUAAGUUGCAGGGUAUAGACCCGAAACCCGGUGAUCUAGCCAUGGGCAGGUUGAAGGUUGGGUAACACUAACUGGAGGACCGAACCGACUAAUGUUGAAAAAUUAGCGGAUGACCUGUGGCUGGGGGUGAAAGGCCAAUCAAACCGGGAGAUAGCUGGUUCUCCCCGAAAGCUAUUUAGGUAGCGCCUCGUGAAUUCAUCUCCGGGGGUAGAGCACUGUUUCGGCUAGGGGGCCAUCCCGGCUUACCAACCCGAUGCAAACUGCGAAUACCGGAGAAUGUUAUCACGGGAGACACACGGCGGGUGCUAACGUCCGUCGUGAAGAGGGAAACAACCCAGACCGCCAGCUAAGGUCCCAAAGUCAUGGUUAAGUGGGAAACGAUGUGGGAAGGCCCAGACAGCCAGGAUGUUGGCUUAGAAGCAGCCAUCAUUUAAAGAAAGCGUAAUAGCUCACUGGUCGAGUCGGCCUGCGCGGAAGAUGUAACGGGGCUAAACCAUGCACCGAAGCUGCGGCAGCGACACUAUGUGUUGUUGGGUAGGGGAGCGUUCUGUAAGCCUGUGAAGGUGGCCUGUGAGGGUUGCUGGAGGUAUCAGAAGUGCGAAUGCUGACAUAAGUAACGAUAAAGCGGGUGAAAAGCCCGCUCGCCGGAAGACCAAGGGUUCCUGUCCAACGUUAAUCGGGGCAGGGUGAGUCGACCCCUAAGGCGAGGCCGAAAGGCGUAGUCGAUGGGAAACGGGUUAAUAUUCCCGUACUUGGUGUUACUGCGAAGGGGGGACGGAGAAGGCUAUGUUGGCCGGGCGACGGUUGUCCCGGUUUAAGCGUGUAGGUGUGUGUUCCAGGUAAAUCCGGUUCACUUUAACACUGAGGCGUGAUGACGAGGCACUACGGUGCUGAAGCAACAAAUGCCCUGCUUCCAGGAAAAGCCUCUAAGCAUCAGGUAACAUCAAAUCGUACCCCAAACCGACACAGGUGGUCAGGUAGAGAAUACCAAGGCGCUUGAGAGAACUCGGGUGAAGGAACUAGGCAAAAUGGUGCCGUAACUUCGGGAGAAGGCACGCUGACAUGUAGGUGAAGUGAUUUACUCAUGGAGCUGAAGUCAGUCGAAGAUACCAGCUGGCUGCAACUGUUUAUUAAAAACACAGCACUGUGCAAACACGAAAGUGGACGUAUACGGUGUGACGCCUGCCCGGUGCCGGAAGGUUAAUUGAUGGGGUCAGCGCAAGCGAAGCUCCUGAUCGAAGCCCCGGUAAACGGCGGCCGUAACUAUAACGGUCCUAAGGUAGCGAAAUUCCUUGUCGGGUAAGUUCCGACCUGCACGAAUGGCGUAAUGAUGGCCAGGCUGUCUCCACCCGAGACUCAGUGAAAUUGAACUCGCUGUGAAGAUGCAGUGUACCCGCGGCAAGACGGAAAGACCCCGUGAACCUUUACUAUAGCUUGACACUGAACAUUGAGCCUUGAUGUGUAGGAUAGGUGGGAGGCUUUGAAGUGUGGACGCCAGUCUGCAUGGAGCCGGCCUUGAAAUACCACCCUUUAAUGUUUGAUGUUCUAACGUGGACCCGUGAUCCGGGUUGCGGACAGUGUCUGGUGGGUAGUUUGACUGGGGCGGUCUCCUCCUAAAGAGUAACGGAGGAGCACGAAGGUUGGCUAAUCCUGGUCGGACAUCAGGAGGUUAGUGCAAUGGCAUAAGCCAGCUUGACUGCGAGCGUGACGGCGCGAGCAGGUGCGAAAGCAGGUCAUAGUGAUCCGGUGGUUCUGAAUGGAAGGGCCAUCGCUCAACGGAUAAAAGGUACUCCGGGGAUAACAGGCUGAUACCGCCCAAGAGUUCAUAUCGACGGCGGUGUUUGGCACCUCGAUGUCGGCUCAUCACAUCCUGGGGCUGAAGUAGGUCCCAAGGGUAUGGCUGUUCGCCAUUUAAAGUGGUACGCGAGCUGGGUUUAGAACGUCGUGAGACAGUUCGGUCCCUAUCUGCCGUGGGCGCUGGAGAACUGAGGGGGGCUGCUCCUAGUACGAGAGGACCGGAGUGGACGCAUCACUGGUGUUCGGGUUGUCAUGCCAAUGGCACUGCCCGGUAGCUAAAUGCGGAAGAGAUAAGUGCUGAAAGCAUCUAAGCACGAAACUUGCCCCGAGAUGAGUUCUCCCUGAGACUUAGAGUCUCCUGAAGGAACGUUGAAGACGACGACGUUGAUAGGCCGGGUGUGUAAGCGCAGCGAUGCGUUGAGCUAACCGGUACUAAUGAACCGUGAGGCUUAACCUU
rnacentral:rRNA from 1 species